rnacentral:rRNA from 1 species
UACGGGGGGGGCAAGGCGUUGUUCGGAAUUACUGGGCGUAAAGGGUGCGUAGGCGGCGCGGUAAGUCGGGUGUGAAAUCUCGGGGCUUAACUCCGAAACUGCAUUCGAUACUGCCGUGCUUGAGGACUGGAGAGGAGACUGGAAUUUACGGUGUAGCGGUGAAAUGCGUAGAUAUCGUAAGGAAGACCAGUGGCGAAGGCGGGUCUCUGGACAGUUCCUGACGCUGAGGCACGAAGGCCAGGGGAGCAAACGGGG